rnacentral:lncRNA from 12 species
GACCCGUCGGGGCCGCGACCGGUGGCAACCGAAGGAGCUUCGGCGUUUGGUUCCGGCCACAGGAGGUUCCGGGGCGGGGCCUUCCAGCCCGACUUCCGGGGCUGGAGCCCGCGACGGGGAUCGGCGGGAGGACGGCAGGGCGGGCACCUGCACCUGCCGCCGCUCCAGCCGGGAAGGGCUUCGGGGGGGGGGGGGGGGGGGGUCCCGCGGCAGCCGCGCGCCUCUGCGCCUCUGCGCCGCCCUAGCGGACGGUGCUGCUUCGGGGUGUCGCUCCCGGGGCCCCGCGGGCGGCGUCCGGGACGAGGAUGGAGAAGGUGCCCCCCGCCCGCGGGCAGCGGCGGACCCACACCGCGAAGCCGCGACGCCGCGGCCGUCCUCAGCCCGGAGUCCCAGCCCCGCGACGAACGCUUUCCGCGGCUCCAACCGCAAAACGAAUAGGGCCCCCUGGGUUCGCGGUGGACCCUGCCCUGGCCCCGGCCGACCUGCUGUGCCGACUCCGGCCUCCUCCAGGUAGCGCCCCGCUGGGGCCAGGCUCACAGGUGCACCUGCCUCCCUCCAGGUUGCCAAAGCUGGGCCAGAGUAGGAGAUCAAAAAAUAUUUUUGGAAGGAGUGACUUAAUGAACGACAGUACAACCAUUGACAAUGUUAUGAACACAGAAAGUGGAUAGCCUUCUUUUGUGGGAAAGGAAGACACAGAUUUUAGAUGCCU